ensembl:lncRNA
AGGUUGCCUGCCACAUACUUCUCUUCUGCCUGUCACUCACCAGAAGUGGCCCCUUGCAGGCUGGAACUCUGCUGUGAAAACAGGUGCAGUCGAGUUCAUCCAAAAGAUUAAAAAACAGAAGGACUCCAAAACAAAAACUUUCCACUCAGAACAGGCAAGCUUUGCUUUUUUUCAAAUAAGUGUUACUUAACAGAAGGUCUUGUAGAGCUCGUAAAAUCCUGGAACAUCUGGUAAACGGUGUCAGUUUUACACGUCCUCCAACACAGGGUACAUGACUCGUGUUUCCACUGGCGUAACUCAAGGACGCUGGUGCGUCUCCGGGCAUCCCGCCCAUCCUGAUUUUCAUGGGAUGAGCCCAAGCCAGCAGAUCUGUCUCUCCUUCCACCAGGCCAGCAACAGACAACAGAAAACCUCAGAACCCAGACCCAAGUGGCGAGAGAGAUGGCGAGGAGAGGGGAAGCCAACGAGGACAUCAUCGCUACUGUGACAGGCGCACGUGGCCUGCCGGGAGAUUGGGGAGGGGACCCAGAUCAGGGUGCUGCACGUGACGGGCACGAUGACUUCCCUGGGUGCCUUUAAAAUACCAUGAGAAUCUGCGUCUUUAACAUUUAGUCAUUUAUCCCAGUUGUUAAACAGCCCACCUUUGGCCUGAGUUGGAUGCCAGGGGUUGAGGGUUACUCAAAAACAUUGAAAAUCAAUAUUUCCAAAGUUGUCUGGAAAUGAGGUCACAGCCCCAUCCGCAGAUGCUGUUUGUUAUACCUGUUUUUAUAUCCUGGCAAGAAUGAACCCCAAAGGCUCCACCAUGAGACUCUGACUUUGCUAUCAGAAGACAGCUUCUUGCAUCCCUCCUGGACUGUGUUCCCACCAUGUGACUGUCGCCCCAGGGACAGCCAUAAGAAAACAUCUGAGAAACCAUCUAAACUUUGAGUUCCCAAGCAAACAUCUCAGAAAACAAACCCUUGCUUUUUUGCAAACCCUCACACUCUUGCAUUUCCCUUCAGAAUAUACCUAGGGCUCAGGAUUGUCCUAAAACCUGGACACAGGGCAGUGCAAGCACCCAGGAAUGAGCUGAGGACCCCUGGCCAUAGGAGGGCUAACUGUGUGUAUUUGGGCAAGUCCCCCACUUAAGCCUCACUAUCUUCAUCAGAGAAAUUGCUCUGUUUCUCACAGACUUGAUGGGAGACUCACACAACUGAAUACCCAUGAAUGUGGUCUGUAACACAUUCCACAAGUGUUACUUCCAGUUAUACCUACGUAAUUGCUGACCUCUUUGUCUUUUCUAUAGUCUUCCCUUAAAAAAAAAANNNNNNNNNNNNNNNNNNNNNNNNNNNNNNNNNNNNNNNNNNNNNNNNNNNNNNNNNNNNNNNNNNNNNNNNNNNNNNNNNNNNNNNNNNNNNNNNNNNUAAAAAAAAAAAAAAAAAAAAAAAACCAGUUCUGGCUAAUGAAUUAACAGAAAGUCUGCCGAAAGAUUUCUGGGAAAGAAAUUUUGCUGCUGAUGAAAUACACUGAUGUUCAACAAAAGAGCCCUCUGGUAUACUCCCUUCCCUGUGCUUCCUGACUUUGAAAGCAGAGCUUCAGCAGCCAUUCUGUCAUCAUGAGACCACAAGCCCAAGAAUAAAAACUCCAUUAUGUUGAAGGUGGGCGAAGGCAGGGAAAGGACCUGGAUCCUUGAUGACAUCAUGGAGCCAACACCAACAAAUCCCUCUUUGGAACUUCUCGCUAUGUGAAAAAGAAUAUGCCCUACUUGUAUAAGUCACUGUUGGUUUUCUGUUCCUUGCAGCUGAAUGCCUUCUAACAGAUCUAGCCCCUCUGUUCGCCAUUUUCAUAGGACCUCAUAUUUUCCUCUGAAGAGCUUAUCACAGUUAUAAUCACUUAGUAAAGUAUUUCUUAAGUUCAGAAGUUUAGUUACAUUCACAACUUGGAUGGAAUUUAUUUCUAAAUAUUUCAAUAUAUUUAGUUAAAUUACUGAAAUAAAUUAUUUAAUUAUUAGUAUGACACCCCAUUCCAAUACUCUUGCCUGGAAAAUCCCAUGGGCAGAGGAGCCUGGUAGGCU